UUUUUUUCUCAGUCUCUUAAGUCAACUUUAAUCCUUUGGAUAAUGGACUGAAAGUGUGUGACCUGCUAAUCUAAUUUGAUGCCAAGAGGGGCCAUUGUGAUCAUCCCUAACUACAUUGUCCUGAGGCUUGGAUGACAGGUAACUUCUGGUCUGCGGAAGCUCAGAACAGGAACGAGACAAAUGUAGUCAGAGUAGAGCUGAACUCUACUAGCAGUUCCUGCCAGGUCUUUGGCGCUUUUCAUACUGGGAACUACGCAGUGUUUCUUGUGUUGAGGGCAGGUAUGGAAGUCGUAGGAAGGACAGAUAAACUUGUGGGGUACAGUUGACUUUAAAUACUACAUGUUCCCACUGAUACACUUGGGAAGGUCUGAGAGAACAGCAUCGUUAGCAGCUUUGCCCAGGCAGCCUCCCUCUGCCCUGUGGUAGGGAGUGAGGAGGCUGUGCCGUCCGUCGGAGGUGCCUACGGGCUGACGUCGGCUCACUAAGUAGCUGCCC
rnacentral:lncRNA from 1 species